GAUGAACGCUGGCGGCGUGCUUAACACAUGCAAGUCGAACGGGAAACCUUUUAUUGAAGCUUCGGCAGAUUUCGCUGGUUUCUAGUGGCGGACGGGUGAGUAACGCGUGGGUAACCUGCCUUAUACAGGGGGAUAACAGUCAGAAAUGGCUGCUAAUACCGCAUAAGCGCACAGAGCUGCAUGGCUCAGUGUGAAAAACUCCGGUGGUAUAAGAUGGACCCGCGUUGGAUUAGCUGGUUGGUGGGGUAACGGCCCACCAAGGCGACGAUCCAUAGCCGGCCUGAGAGGGUGAACGGCCACAUUGGGACUGAGACACGGCCCAGACUCCUACGGGAGGCAGCAGUGGGGAAUAUUGCACAAUGGGGGAAACCCUGAUGCAGCGACGCCGCGUGAAGGAAGAAGUAUCUCGGUAUGUAAACUUCUAUCAGCAGGGAAGAUAAUGACGGUACCUGACUAAGAAGCCCCGGCUAACUACGUG
rnacentral:rRNA from 1 species